rnacentral:rRNA from 1 species
CCCUUAGAUGUUCUGGGCUGCACGCGCGCUACACUGAUACUUUCAGCGUGUCCACCACCUUGCCUGAGAGGGUGGGGUAACCUCUGGAAAGUGUAUCGUGAUGGGGAUCGAUUAUUGUAAUUAUUAAUCUUCAACGAGGAAUUCCUAGUAAGCAUGUGUCAUCAGCCCGUGCUGAUUACGUCCCUGCCCUUUGUACACACCGCCCGUCGCACCUACCGAUUGAAUGGUCCGGUGAAGCCUCGGGAUUGCUGUGAGUUUCCUUCAUUGGGAACUCGCGGCGAGAACUUGUCUAAACCUUAUCAUUUAGAGGAAGGUGAAGUUGUAACA